rnacentral:rRNA from 1 species
GACGAACGCUGGCGGCGUGCUUAACACAUGCAAGUCGAACGAAGUGGCGAGCGGGUGAGGCAUAAGUGAGUAACCUGCCCUCCUUUUUGGGAUAAGACAUGGAGACGUGGUCUAAUAAAGGAUCAAGGGGGAUGGGCUCUGGGCCUAUACGCUUGUUGGUGGGGUGAGGGCCUACCAAUGCGGUGACGGGUAUCCGGGCUGAGAGUGUAACCGGCGAAAUUGGGACUGAGAUACGGCCCAUACUCCUACGGGAGGCAGAAUUGGGGGAUAUGGCACAAUGGGCGAAAGCCUGAUGCAGCGACGCCGCGGGGGGGAUGAAGGUUUUCGGGUUGUAAACCUCUUUCGCUAUCGAACGGGUAGGUGGAGAAGAAGCGCCGUCUAACUACGUGCCAGCAGCCGCGGUAAUAC